rnacentral:rRNA from 1 species
UCGAUUCAUGCCUAACACAUGCUAGUCGCACGGUCAGCAAUGGCAGUGGCGGACGGGUGAGUAACACGUAGGAAUCUAUCCUGGGGUGGGGGACAACAGCGGGAAACUGCUGCUAAUACCGCAUGAUACCUGAGGGUCAAAGGCGCAAGUCGCCUUGGGAGGAGCCUGCGUCUGAUUAGCUUGUUGGUGGGGUAAAGGCCUACCAGGCGACGAUCAGUAGCUGGUCUGAGAGGAUGAUCAGCCACAUUGGGUACUGAGACACGGCCCCAAACUCCUACGGGAGGCAGCAGUGGUGAAAUAUUUGACAAUGGGGGCAAACCUGAUCCAGCAAUGCCCCCGUGUGUGAAGAAGUCUUCCGGAUUUGUAACACUUUUGGCAGGACGAUGAUGACGUUCCUGCAAUAAGCCCCCGCUUA